CAAUGGAAACCUUGUGCUGCUCAGUCACUACAGUACAAACACUGGCAACGACGAAGAGACAAGAUUUAUGAGUGCAUUUGGGACGCAAACUUUUGCAGUCAGGGAGUGAUCGUCAUGAAACGGAUACAAAACAUUUUGGAUGCAAUGAUGUGUUACUGCUCCAAAGAUUUUAAGCAUUUCCUACCAAGAGGGAGCAGCCAAAAAGUGAAGCAAGAGGAUGAUUCUGGACAUCACUGAGUAGAAAACCAGCUCUACAGUGCAAAGAUCAUCUAUCGCAAAGGAUUCUGACAGCAGCCCCCGGCAGAUGGUGGUGUGGUUUGUCUGAAGUGGGAGUGAAAGUGACUAGUGAUCCAUGAUAAACACGAAGAACUCCCACCACGACCGCAGUUUCCUCUGAAAAACAGCUGGGCGGCUAUGUGCAAAGCCUUGAGUCAACAAGCCGCAGAACCACCGGCCGCAUUAGUCACCAGUAAAACGGCAGGGCAGACUUAUGCAUAAUAGUUGAUGCAGAGAAAACUACAUGCAUUGUUGUUCUAACCGGGUGGUUUUUAUUGUUGUUUUUAUCAUGUAACAAGGUUCAAUCAAUUUUUAUUCCCAUUUUUCACUCUGCUUUCAUUUUUCUGGGUGUGACUUUGGCCAGAGUUCUGUGACAAACUUUGUACACAGAUUUUUUCCAGUCUUAGAAAAAGAACCCAAUAAAAAACGUGGGAAUGUGAAUAUGCAUUCAGCAUUGAUGUAGCCACUUGGGACAAGCUAUAGCAGAAGACCGUCAAAGUAACUGUCUGGAGGCGUACUGAGAAAUUGGCAAGUAGCCACUAUUGGAUAAUUUACAGCUUGAUUGGCCCUGACCGCUAACCAACUGCUUACAAAAUCAAAACUUCUUUUUUUUUAGAGGCUGUUUGUGAUUGAAGGAAACUUUAAGUUGGCCACCUUUUAGCAUCACUGAGCUGUUUAAACAUGAAGCCAAACAAAAAGUGUAAAGAUAGAGGAGGAAAUAUCUAUUAUUUUUUUGCAACCAGCUUAGAUCUGUGGUUCAUUCAGGCUAUGAGAGGGCAAGAGAGAGCAAAACUUUCAGCAGAUAACACGAAGGUUGAACACUGUGCAACAAAGUCACUGUUUAAUGCUUUUGUAUUUCCCAAGUCUGUCUUUAAAAACAUACUUAAUAACAAUGUUGCCAGCCUUUGAAGCCUUGAAAUUGUCAGGCUUAAGGUCAGGAUCUAAACCUUAGUUAAACAAGUACACCUUUAGAUCUCUGCAUUAAAUUAAUAAUUAUUACUGUAGGGAAUUAAUUAAUACUCUACAGUAACAAUUAAGUUUAGACUAAGCUUGGUAAAUGUUUAGUUUUUUUAAGGGAGUAUGUUUGAUUUUAUAUUAUCAGUAACAGUUAGCAACUCUUAAAAGCUGCUUAAUAUACUUUGAGUUCUCAAUGCAAUGAAAAUGAAUAAUGGAAGGUUUUCACCUUGUUGUUAGUCAGCAGCCAAACAUAUAAUGUGCUAAAUAAAAAGUCAGGGUUCCUGACUACUGAUUGGUUCAUUUGAUAUUCUGGCAUUGUUGGAUCAUCUAAAAUAUUGGUAACUAGUAAAUAUUGCUAUUUUGUAUCUAAUGUUAUGCAUGAGGAAACAACGCACGACGAUUCAACGUGAAACUGGACAAACAGCACAAACCCAAACUCUCUAGAGAGACGCAACAAGAGCAAGAAGCGCCUGACCCAAAACACAAGCUGAAGCAAAGUUGGGUCUAUGUUGUGACGCGUGCAGCAGUAUCCUCCCCGUACAACAGCAGCACGCCUGCAGCAGUCUGAUGUGUCAGCUCACAGCUUGAAAAGCACAUCAGGAAUGUAUCAGAGAGAGACAGCUCAGCUGGAGAUGAGCAUCUUUGGUUAUAAUGCCAAGACAGCUUCAUCCAUGUUCACGGCACGCUCCGAGCUUAUUUCAAAUAACUAAAAAGCCUAUUUAAAAAAUGUUGCAAACUGUAUAGAGCAAUGGAGAUCUGUGUUCUUGGUGCAUUCUUGGUUGUUUACUAAAUUUAAGUGGAAACCCAGUAGAAAGAGAGUAUGCCUCCAGACUAGUCUGAAUCUGCUUCUAUUCGUGUAAGUGUCGGGACUUACGUUUACAUCCCUAAUAUUGUUUUUUGACAAAGAAUGUAUACACAAUGAGC